rnacentral:rRNA from 1 species
AACGAGCGCUGGCGGCAUGCCUAACAUAUGCAAGUCGAACGAGAUCUUCGGGUCUAGUGGCGCACGGGUGCGUAACGCGUGGGAAUCUGCCCUUUGGUUCGGAAUAACAGUUGGAAACGACUGCUAAUACCGGAUGAUGACGAAAGUCCAAAGAUUUAUCGCCAGAGGAUGAGCCCGCGUAGGAUUAGCUAGUUGGUGUGGUAAAGGCGCACCAAGGCGACGAUCCUUAGCUGGUCUGAGAGGAUGAUCAGCCACACUGGGACUGAGACACGGCCCAGACUCCUACGGGAGGCAGCAGUGGGGAAUAUUGGACAAUGGGCGAAAGCCUGAUCCAGCAAUGCCGCGUGAGUGAUGAAGGCCUUAGGGUUGUAAAGCUCUUUUACCCGGGAUGAUAAUGACAGUACCGGGAGAAUAAGCUCCGGCUAACUCCGUGCCAGCCGCCGCGGUAA